GGCACACCUCUUAUGCACUGUAACUCCAAUUGCUUCGUUCAUGUCAAUCUCAUCUCUGCUCAUUCCAGGAGGCAACUCCCAUUCAAAACAGUAUAACAGAUUAGCUAGCGCCAGCUCUAUUGUUGCAAUCCCCAAAUUCAUUGCGGGGCAAAUUCUCCGACCUGAUCCAAACGGAAUGAAAUGGAAAUCAUGUCCUUUGAAAUCUACUGAUCCAUGCAUAAAUCUUUCCGGAAGAAACUCCUCAGGAUCUUCCCAUAAUUUGGGAUCUCUUCCUAACCCCCAUCCAUUGAUGAAGACUCGUGUAUUUGGCAAGACAUCGUACCCGCCAAUUUUGCA
rnacentral:misc_RNA from 1 species